rnacentral:lncRNA from 1 species
GUUUCCUCGUAUUGGAGUUCGGACACUUUAAUUCCGUUGGUUGCUACGGUUGGUUAUACACUUUGUGUGGAUGAAUCAACCACAAAGUGGAGUAACCUGGACAAUAAACCUGCUAAUACGUUGAUCUCUACCAAGAAAUCCUUUGAUUUGCUUUUCAUUUGUUGAGGAUGGCAUUUCUAAGCUGUUCUUUUUUUUUUUUUGAAGAAAACGGAGGAAGUAAGGA